rnacentral:rRNA from 1 species
GAUGAACGCUGGCGGCGUGCCUAAUACAUGCAAGUUGAGCGAACGGACGAGAAGCUUGCUUCUCUGAUGUUAGCGGCGGACGGGUGAGUAACACGUGGAUAACCUACCUAUAAGACUGGGAUAACUUCGGGAAACCGGAGCUAAUACCGGAUAAUAUUUUGAACCGCAUGGUUCAAAAGUGAAAGACGGUCUUGCUGUCACUUAUAGAUGGAUCCGCGCUGCAUUAGCUAGUUGGUAAGGUAACGGCUUACCAAGGCAACGAUGCAUAGCCGACCUGAGAGGGUGAUCGGCCACACUGGAACUGAGACACGGUCCAGACUCCGACGGGAGGCAGCAGUAGGGAAUCUUCCGCAAUGGGCGAAAGCCUGACGGAGCAACGCCGCGUGAGUGAUGAAGGUCUUCGGAUCGUAAAACUCUGUUAUUAGGGAAGAACAUAUGUGUAAGUAACUGUGCACAUCUUGACGGUACCUAAUCAGAAAGCCACGGCUAACUACGU